rnacentral:sRNA from 1 species
AGAGACAAAGGAAAAGUUCAGUGUAUAUUACCUCCAACUCGAAUUCAACACAAGGAAUCCACUUGUUGCGGAGAAGGUAGUCAACUUCCUUAGCCAAUUCAACGUCACUAAGGUCAGGGAGGUAAGAUAGAGUCUCAAACUUCUUCUUUCCGAUUGGUGGCCACACCUAUAAAUUCGAAUUCCCAAUUAUUCUAAAGUAUUGUUCAGUUGCACUAAUUGCACAUGACAAAAGACAGUUUUCAUUAAUGACAUUUACCUUCAUGCAGCUAACUCUUCCUCCGUUGCUUGUGAUGGAAGUAAUGUCGUUGUUGGCCUUGCGGGUGACCGGGAAAGAAGCGGAUGACUUCAAGCCGGUGAAUGGAGCGACCAUGGUGGCUUGAGCCGGGGAGGUAACCACAGCGGUGGAGGAGAACAUAGAGGAAGCCAUUACUUCUUCUUGUUGUUUCUCUUCUUCUUUUGGUUUUUCUCUUACUU